GAGUGAGGUAGGUUUUGACUUUAUAAAGACGUAGCAAUGAUUGGCGAACAAUAUUAGCUCUAUAGCGCUUUCUCAUCAUCCUAAAAAGAGACAAGGAUCUGGACCUACAAGCGGGAACAGCAAAACAACUGGAGGACAAGAUGCAUCCAAGAAGGAUGUCCCAUCGGAGGAUAUUGACAUUGACAUGGGUGCCCCCGAG